rnacentral:lncRNA from 12 species
GGGGGGUGGCGGUGGGCACUGGAUGGAUAGAUAGAUUUGGAAAAUAAAGUAAAAAAAAAAAAAGUUCUACAUUUUAGUUUUUUUUUUUAUGUUAGAGUGGGUCCAAAAGAAACUAAUGCAUAAAAUAAAUGUUAAAUAUUUUUAACUGAUAUGUUGAAAAAAAAUAUAUAUAAAUUGCUCUAUAUACGGCAUAAGAUGUAUGAAUAAGCACGCAGUGUGUGUGAUCAUUAAGCGGCUUGAUCAAUGUCUGUGAUUGAUCGAUCGCUCGCGGGCUUUAGGACCCGGAUGUGCAGUGAGUCUCAGACAGACACCGGUUGAUGAUCCGCUCGCGACUCAUUCAAUGUCUGUUAUCAAAGAACAAUAAAACGCACGUCUCAGCCGGGCACGUUACACACGUUUAUGCUGUUGUAUUAACACUAGUCCUCGUACUCCUCCACCAGAGAUAGACCGGGCUGAUCACCGCGGACCGGCGCACAUCUGCAUCACCGGCGGAUUCCGGUGAAGAGAGCGAAGCCGCGCUCAGCCGUUCCCCGUCAGUCCGCUUCAGGCCACCGGCGACAGCAUGAGCCAGAGGUUCACGGUGACCGCCGGUGACAUCCAGGGCGAAGUGAACCAGCUGUUCGAGGGCGAUGAGGAGACGCCGAGCGCCUCUGACGCCGCGGCAGCGGAGGCAUCCGGGAAAGCUCGAACAUUCUGACCAGGAAAUGACCAGAACUAAAGGCCAGCCUGGACCAGCUAAACCAUGCAAAAGCAACUACUCUGGUGGCUGUGUAUGAAGUGCUUGCGUACAGGUGUUUCCAGCUCCAUCCAGCUUUCUUUCUCACUGCUCUGCACAGAGCGACUAAUCAAGACACUCCUGUGAAUGAGCUGGACCUUUUCCAUUUCAAGGUUAUAUGAUAUGAUUCACUCUCAUCAUUAGAACAGCAGAACAAAAAGUGUUUGGCACAGUUGUGUAACACGCAGAUGUCAUUUAAAGCUCUGAAUGUCUCACAUAGCCCAAGUCUAAUUACUGAAGGGUUUUGUAACGAUACUUUAUGACUGCAAACACACACACUCCUCUCUCGUCCUCUUUCUCCCUCUGAUACAAAUCUAGCAAACCAGUCCAGAAAUGCCAGCUUGAUGUGGAUUAGACUGUUGUUGUUAAAUCAUAUUGGGAUUUGGGGCACAAAACAAGAUUCCCAUUUGCUUGCAAGUAGGAUGUCUAAAGGGUUUUGAAGGGUAUGUUGUGGUCAGGGAAGUGAGCUGUUGGAAUGCAGGGCAGAACUGGGCCAAUUUAAUAAAACCUGAAAACAACUUGAUCUGCCAUGUGCCUUUGGGGUGGAUCUUGACAACAGCAAUAAACUAGCAAUUUCUGAGGAAUAUUUACUGGCUUGUGCAAGUCCAGGGUGCUGCUAUAUGCCAGUGUUAUGUUUGUAUUAUUCAUGUAUUUAUUGAAAGGAUAGUUCAACCAAAAAUUAAAAACUGUGGUCCUUGGUGAUUCAUAAAAUGCAAGUCAUUGGCUAAAAAUUGGUUCUGAUUGCAGUUAUAUAUUGGACAUUUAAAAAAAAAAAUCACUCAUCUAAUGCAUUAUCAGUUGAUCUCUACACUAACAGUAGGCCUAUAUAUGAUUUUGCUCCCUCCUUGUUCUGCAGGAUUCAUGUAGUUUAUUUAAUUUGACUUUUGCUUGAUUAUAUAGUGAUGCAGCCUUAGAAAACUUAGACAGCACCUCUAAUGACACUGAACCGAUCCACCUCCAUCAUUUGUGGGUGCACAUGCACUUCCAAAAACGAUUUGCAUCUCCUCAGAUGGAGCUGAUAUUAAUUUCCAUGGUUACCCAUCGCUGGUCGGGGGCAGCUCGAAAAGCAGAUGCAUUCCCGCUGUGACUUCUCCACAUCUCGUGAAUGUGAGCUGCCAUCCAAUCUAGACUUCCUAACAUAGACUGUGAUCUGACUACAAUACCACCUGUAUAUUUCAAAGUAAAGAUGCAUGUAUUAAUUCAUAUAUUCCAUUAUUUAGAUUAAGUUUUAGUAUUUUUUAUCUGAUUAAAUGUGUUUUUAAUUAGUUUUAGGGUUUUUUAUAUUUCUAUUUAGCUUAAUUUUAGCACUUCAACUUUUCAGUUUGAUCACAUUUAUUUUGGUGAAUUUUAAGCUUAAGAUUGUGAAGUUUUAAAGUUUUUUUUACAGCUUUAUUAAAAUUUACUGAAAACAAUUAUAAUUUCAGUUAAUAAUAAUGUUGUUCAUUCAUAUAUUGUUAUUUAGAUGAAUUUUUACUAAGUUUUAUGUGCUUUUUAUGUGCCUCUGUAUGAGUUUCAGUUUUUUAAUAUGUAUUAAGCUUUAAUUUACAUUUAUUUCAUUUAAUAAAAAAAUUAGCACGUC